UCCUACGGGAGGCAGCAGCAAGGAAUAUUGUGCAAUGGGCGAAAGCCUGACACAGCGACACCGCGUGGGGGAAGAAGGUCUUCGGAUUGUAAACCCCUUUUCCCAGGGAAGAAUAAUGUCGGUACCUGGGGAAUAAGUCUCGGCUAACUACGUGCCAGCAGCCGCGGUAAUACGUAGGAGGCAAGCGUUAUCCGGAUUUAUUGGGCGUAAAGCGCGUGUAGGCGGCUUUUCAAGUCGGAUGUAAAAUCUCCCGGCUCAACUGGGAGGGCCCAUUCGAUACUGUUGGGCUAGAGUGCAGCAGAGGGAGGUGGAAUUCCCGGUGUAGUGGUGAAAUGCGUAGAUAUCGGGAGGAACACCAGUGGCGAAGGCGGCUUUCUGGUCUAUCUCUGACGCUGAGGAGCGAAAGCUAGGGGAGCAAACGGGAUUAGAUACCCGAGUAGUCCAAGCC
rnacentral:rRNA from 1 species